AAGUGUUUGUGGGCCAGUAGCCAUAAAGAAUAUAAAAAUCAAUAUAUGAGACAACAAGCAUGGAAAUCAAUUGCGGCUGUAUUGAACUCGACUGAAAAUGAAGUAAAAAAGCGGUGGAGAUCUCUACGUGACACAUAUUCGAGGAAGUUAAAUGAUAUGAAUCAGCCUUCAGGAUCGGGUUAUAAACAUGUAGGUUGGAAAUAUUUUCAAGUUAUGUCCUUCUUGAAGGAUUGUUAUGCGUCUAGGCCUCGAGAGGGAAAUGUUCCUAUCCGCAAAGAUCCUGCCAAUGAGGAAUACUUAGAAUACGACUACAACAAUAACGAGGUUGAACAUCUAGAUGAGGAUGAAUCAUAUUCUAUCUUCGAUUCCGAAUCAUCAAGAACUGCGACAAAUAGCCCUGCGCCGUCCAAAAAAAGAAAACAAACGCAGGUUCCGUUGCUAGAGGAGCUUCUUGAGGUAGAACGGUCAAAGCAGGAAACAUUAAAAGCCCUUAUCGAAACGCGGCCGAAAACAUCAUCAAAUUAUUUAUUUUUUAAUAGUUUAAUUGAACCUGUAGAUGCUUUACCUUUACAUGUACAGCUACAGGUAAAAGAAAGCAUCAUGAAAGUAGUUCAUGACGCCAUGUUACUUAAUGAAUAAUUAAAUACGUUCAAAAAUUAUAGCAAAAGUAAAUAAAUGCAUUGAAUUGGGUUUUUAAAAUAA